rnacentral:rRNA from 1 species
GAUGAACGCUGGCGGCGUGCCUAAUACAUGCAAGUCGAGCGAACAGACGAGGAGCUUGCUCCUCUGACGUUAGCGGCGGACGGGUGAGUAACACGUGGAUAACCUACCUAUAAGACUGGGAUAACUUCGGGAAACCGGAGCUAAUACCGGAUAAUAUAUUGAACCGCAUGGUUCAAUAGUGAAAGACGGUUUUGCUGUCACUUAUAGAUGGAUCCGCGCCGCAUUAGCUAGUUGGUAAGGUAACGGCUUACCAAGGCAACGAUGCGUAGCCGACCUGAGAGGGUGAUCGGCAACACUGGAACUGAGACACGGUCCAGACUCAUACGGGAGGCAGCAGUAGGGAAUCUUCCGCAAUGGGCGAAAGCCUGACGGAGCAACGCCGCGUGAGUGAUGAAGGUCUUCGGAUCGUAAAACUCUGUUAUUAGGGAAGAACAAAUGUGUAAGUAACUAUGCACGUCUUGACGGUACCUAAUCAGAAAGCCACGGCUAACUACGUG